GGCGGCGGCGCCUCGCCGGCUGCUCUGCUCGCAAAGUCCGGCCGGCCGAGGCAGCCGGCAACUCCUCUCAACUUCUGCCGAUCGGCGGGCGAAGCCACACGCUCCCUGCGCGUCCCUCCCGGGGGCUGAGCCGGGGAUCUUCUCAACCCAGGGAUCAAGCCCGCAUCUCCUUUGGAUUCUUUAUCACUGAGCCAACUGGGAAGCCCUUAUUCACCUUGGAUGUUUUGAAAUAUACAGAACUUUUGUAGAAGAGCUUUCUUUGGAAAGGACUCUGGUGGGAGGCAAGAGGGCCUAUGAACAGGGGUACAAGGGAGCUCUCUAGGGUGUGAGUUAAAUGUGUGGUCUGUACAGUUAAGUCCUACCUGGUAAAGAGAUCCCGAAGACUAAUUUUGCUGUUGUCAUUUUUCUUACACCAGGUCUUCAAUGCAACAAAAUGGAUUGAAUAGUACAAGUAAAAUGCUUAGAACAUGCCUGGCUCAUGGUAAGAACAUGGACACUACACUCACAUUUCCAAGACCCUGAGCUGGGGGGCUCUGAGUUUGACUCAAUCAAGCCCUUAUCACAUGCUGGAGACUCUCCCAGACCUCAUGAAGUUCUUUCCACAAUUCUCUGUGAAGUUGAUACAUUGUCGCUGUCUCCACAUCAUAACAGAUGACACAAAAACACAGAGAACUGCCCACUUGGUGGAGUGGGCUUGCAAAUCCAGGAUACCAGCAUGAUCUUCCAGAGGUCACCCGGGGUUCCACGGACAGGGGAGUGGGUCCCAACCUUGCUGAGAAUCAUCCAGAGAGUUUUAGAAACACCAUGCUCUGGUUCUACCCCCAAAAAGUAGGGCUAAGUGAGGAAGAAACUAGUACCUGGAUCUUUUUUUUUUAAGUCCCCAGAUGAGUCUAACAGGUAGUCAGGUUUGAGGACAGUUGGCUAUUUAGAGAUAAAAAGACCCAUUUUAGGAAAAAUCCCUAAGUCACAGAGAAGACCCAUCCAAAGCUGUAAGAAGCCCCACAUUAUCAAAAGUCCAUCCCUAACAGAGGUCCUUGAGAGAGUAAAGCUGUGCUGUGGGUUGGCUGAGUAUGCAGAGGUUUUUGCAAGACCCUUGGGGAGGACUAUGCUGUAAUUGGACAAGUUAUCCUGCCUUACCCCUUCAUAGAUCACUGCCUUGUCAUGGCAAAGGGGCUUGCGUAACUCAAUGAAGCUAUGAGCCAGGCCAUGCAGGGCCACCCCAGAUAGAUGGGUUGAGGUAGUUACAUCUCUGGGAGAUAGUGGGGGACAGAGAGGCCUGGCGUGCUGCAGUUCACAGGGUUAUAAAGAGACAGACAUGACUUAACAACCGAACAACAACAAUCCUUCUUUAUGAGAUGCCACAGAAAAGCCAAAUCGCCUGUCACUAGAAGGGUUCAGUUGGACUCAUUAUUUGGCAUAGAGGUAGUAGCAGAGCUGCAAUCCCUGGAAGGCUGAGCAAUGCCUCUGAUGUUCCAUCCAUCCCAUCAUCGUCUCCUCCAAGCCCCACCCCCGUAGGAUGAAGACUGUGUGUAGUAGAUGUUCUUCAGAAGCAAGCCAACCCUUCCUCUGCUGCCUCCCAAAACCCAGCACCUGGGCUCAGGGUGCAGUUUCUCUGGCCUGCACACAUACUGUUUAGGGAAACCCAGACGCCAGCUUGUUCAAAUGUGGUUGCUGCAAUAAGAGGGGAUGUAUAAGAUGUGUCACAUGGCUCCCCCUCCCCCCGCCACUCCUCCUCCUCGGGGGAACUCACACGUGGCCAGGGCUCACAUAUGGCUGAGACACGCUGCAGUGAAUCCAUGGCGCCUCAAGAAUCAGGCCACAGUCGUUAUCCAUCACCACCUCCCAGCAGCAAACCCAGCAGUGUUCUUAAGUGUCUUCUGGGAGGUGGGAGCCAAGCCAAGGCUGCAGCAGCCAGCUACCUGGCUGAGCCUUCACACAGCCCCUCACCUGGGGAGCUCUCCUGCACGAAAGCCUCCACAGUCCUAAUUCUCCCCAAUCCAAAUUAUUUCUUAAACUAUUUUCCCCCAAACAACUUGAAGAGUGCCACCAGUGCCUGCAAGGCAAUUUGAAUUUCUUCCCUUUUUUAUUUUCCCUUGCAAUUAAAACCGGAAUGUUAUUUCUUCUUUGCUCUGAUAAUGUCUGAUUAAAUCAAUUCAUUGUGGUCUUGUGCUGGA